UGGGUAAUUGAUUUGGCGCCCGGUAGACUAAAAUUAGAAUAAUACAGAGGAGCUUAGCGUGGCUCCUGUGCAAGGAUGACACACAAAUUUUUGAAGUAUUUUAUAUAUAA